rnacentral:rRNA from 1 species
AGAUUGAACGCUGGCGGCAUGCUUUACACAUGCAAGUCGAACGGUAACAGGCCGCAAGGUGCUGACGAGUGGCGAACGGGUGAGUAAUGUAUCGGAACGUGCCCAGUCGUGGGGGAUAACGCAGCGAAAGCUGCGCUAAUACCGCAUACGAUCUAUGGAUGGAAAGCGGGGGACCGUAAGGCCUCGCGCGA